UUAAGCGACUAAGCGUACACGGUGGAUGCCCUGGCAGUCAGAGGCGAUGAAGGACGUGCUAAUCUGCGAAAAGCGUCGGUAAGGUGAUAUGAACCGUUAUAACCGGCGAUGUCCGAAUGGGGAAACCCAGUGCAAUUCGUUGCACUAUCGUUAACUGAAUACAUAGGUUAACGAGGCGAACCGGGGGAACUGAAACAUCUAAGUACCCCGAGGAAAAGAAAUCAACCGAGAUUCCCCCAGUAGCGGCGAGCGAACGGGGAGCAGCCCAGAGUCUGAAUCAGCUUGUGUGUUAGUGGAACGGUCUGGAAAGUCCGACGGUACAGGGUGAUAGUCCCGUACACCAAAAUGCACAGGCUGUGAACUCGAAGAGUAGGGCGGGACACGUGGUAUCCUGUCUGAAUAUGGGGGACCAUCCUCCAAGGCUAAAUACUCCUGACUGACCGAUAGUGAACCAGUACCGUGAGGGAAAGGCGAAAAGAACCCCGGCGAGGGGAGUGAAAAAGAACCUGAAACCGUGUACGUACAAGCAGUGGGAGCACCUUCGGGUGUGACUGCGUACCUUUUGUAUAAUGGGUCAGCGACUUAUAUUCUGUAGCAAGGUUAACCGUAUAGGGGAGCCGCAGGGAAACCGAGUCUUAACUGGGCGUUAAGUUGCAGGGUAUAGACCCGAAACCCGGUGAUCUAGCCAUGGGCAGGUUGAAGGUUGGGUAACACUAACUGGAGGACCGAACCGACUAAUGUUGAAAAAUUAGCGGAUGACUUGUGGCUGGGGGUGAAAGGCCAAUCAAACCGGGAGAUAGCUGGUUCUCCCCGAAAGCUAUUUAGGUAGCGCCUCGUGAACUCAUCUUCGGGGGUAGAGCACUGUUUCGGCUAGGGGGUCAUCCCGACUUACCAACCCGAUGCAAACUACGAAUACCGAAGAAUGUUAUCACGGGAGACACACGGCGGGUGCUAACGUCCGUCGUGAAGAGGGAAACAACCCAGACCGCCAGCUAAGGUCCCAAAGUCAUGGUUAAGUGGGAAACGAUGUGGGAAGGCACAGACAGCCAGGAUGUUGGCUUAGAAGCAGCCAUCAUUUAAAGAAAGCGUAAUAGCUCACUGGUCGAGUCGGCCUGCGCGGAAGAUGUAACGGGGCUAAACCAUGCACCGAAGCUGCGGCAGCGACACUAUGUGUUGUUGGGUAGGGGAGCGUUCUGUAAGCCUGCGAAGGUGUGCUGUGAGGCAUGCUGGAGGUAUCAGAAGUGCGAAUGCUGACAUAAGUAACGAUAAAGCGGGUGAAAAGCCCGCUCGCCGGAAGACCAAGGGUUCCUGUCCAACGUUAAUCGGGGCAGGGUGAGUCGACCCCUAAGGCGAGGCCGAAAGGCGUAGUCGAUGGGAAACAGGUUAAUAUUCCUGUACUUGGUGUUACUGCGAAGGGGGGACGGAGAAGGCUAUGUUAGCCGGGCGACGGUUGUCCCGGUUUAAGCAUGUAGGCUGAUUGUCCAGGCAAAUCCGGAUAAUCAAGGCUGAGGUGUGAUGACGAGGCACUACGGUGCUGAAGUAACAAAUGCCCUGCUUCCAGGAAAAGCCUCUAAGCAUCAGGUAACAUUAAAUCGUACCCCAAACCGACACAGGUGGUCAGGUAGAGAAUACCAAGGCGCUUGAGAGAACUCGGGUGAAGGAACUAGGCAAAAUGGUGCCGUAACUUCGGGAGAAGGCACGCUGGUGUGUAGGUGAAGUCCCUGCGGAUGGAGCUGAGACCAGUCGAAGAUACCAGCUGGCUGCAACUGUUUAUUAAAAACACAGCACUGUGCAAACACGAAAGUGGACGUAUACGGUGUGACGCCUGCCCGGUGCCGGAAGGUUAAUUGAUGGGGUUAUCCGUAAGGAGAAGCUCUUGAUCGAAGCCCCGGUAAACGGCGGCCGUAACUAUAACGGUCCUAAGGUAGCGAAAUUCCUUGUCGGGUAAGUUCCGACCUGCACGAAUGGCGUAAUGAUGGCCAGGCUGUCUCCACCCGAGACUCAGUGAAAUUGAACUCGCUGUGAAGAUGCAGUGUACCCGCGGCAAGACGGAAAGACCCCGUGAACCUUUACUAUAGCUUGACACUGAACAUUGAGCCUUGAUGUGUAGGAUAGGUGGGAGGCUUUGAAGCGUGGACGCCAGUCUGCGUGGAGCCAACCUUGAAAUACCACCCUUUAAUGUUUGAUGUUCUAACGUUGGCCCCUUACCGGGGUUGCGGACAGUGUCUGGUGGGUAGUUUGACUGGGGCGGUCUCCUCCCAAAGCGUAACGGAGGAGCACGAAGGUUAGCUAAUCCUGGUCGGACAUCAGGAGGUUAGUGCAAUGGCAUAAGCUAGCUUGACUGCGAGCGUGACGGCGCGAGCAGGUGCGAAAGCAGGUCAUAGUGAUCCGGUGGUUCUGAAUGGAAGGGCCAUCGCUCAACGGAUAAAAGGUACUCCGGGGAUAACAGGCUGAUACCGCCCAAGAGUUCAUAUCGACGGCGGUGUUUGGCACCUCGAUGUCGGCUCAUCACAUCCUGGGGCUGAAGUAGGUCCCAAGGGUAUGGCUGUUCGCCAUUUAAAGUGGUACGCGAGCUGGGUUUAGAACGUCGUGAGACAGUUCGGUCCCUAUCUGCCGUGGGCGCUGGAGAAUUGAGGGGGGCUGCUCCUAGUACGAGAGGACCGGAGUGGACGCAUCACUGGUGUUCGGGUUGUCAUGCCAAUGGCACUGCCCGGUAGCUAAAUGCGGAAGAGAUAAGUGCUGAAAGCAUCUAAGCACGAAACUUGCCCCGAGAUGAGUUCUCCCUGAGACUUUAAGUCUCCUGAAGGAACGUUGAAGACGACGACGUUGAUAGGCCGGGUGUGUAAGCGCAGCGAUGCGUUGAGCUAACCGGUACUAAUGAACCGUGAGGCUUAACCUU
rnacentral:rRNA from 1 species